UUCGAUAUCAAUCGAUAUUUUCAACUGUUGCUUCUAAUAUGCAUAUUUAAACUUUAGAUUCAAAAGUUGUAUUUUACAAAGGGACUAAGUAGAGAAUCGUUUUUUAAAAUUUUAUACCAAUUUGUAAAAUCUGUGAUCGAUUUGUGAUAAAAUCGAUAUUUUUCAAAUGUGUAUUUUUCCAAGUUUAUACAAAUCUAUAAAAUACGAGUAGAUUUAUAUUCAUCAUUAUAUAUAAUAACAUUUUGUAUUUCGAAAAUGUGAAUGAUUUUAGUCGAUGACGUGCCAUUUGAUAGAUGUCCCUUUUGUCAGGUGUUGUACGUCAGAAUCGUUUUUCAAAUCACGAAACAUGACUCGAUUACCAUUGUUACACGUGAACCAGUCGCGUUGCUAGCGAUUUACGAUCGAGAAGUACAUAAUCGUGAUACAAACAACGGAACAGCCGCGGUAAAUAUUUGCGAUGACACGGAUUUACCUUUUGCGACGAAUAUUAUACCAUGAACCAACUUCUUUCAUGUAAAUUGUACGAAAUUCGGAACUAAUUGUAUUAAAAUCGGAACUAAUUAUUCCAUUCUCUUUCUUUUUUUAUACACAAAUGGAUGAUAAUUAUUAGGUUGAUGAUAUUUAUGUACGUACAUAUGUAUAUAUCUCUAUAAACAUGAUUAAAAGUAUGGAAUUUUAAUGGAAAGUUGUAUCCACCAAAUAUUAUAGUCACUAUAUUGUUUCUGGCAGAUAACUAGGUUAUAUUAGUAUAGAUGCAAGUGGUAAGGAAAUCUAAGAAAUAUUUUGGACUAAGAAUUAUGUAUUUUUAAAUAAAUAAUAAAUGAAGUUCGAUAAAUGUACACGCUUAGUAGCCAAUGUAUACACAUAGAAUUUAGACUUUUAUUAGCUGAAGUUUACUGAUGUAUUGUAGCAGAUAUGUGUAUUGUUUAGUAAAUGAAUACUAAUUCACGAACUAACGAUAGGUUAUGUAAAUAUACACACUAGAAAUAGUAAACAUUUUUACAUUUAGCCAACAUCAAUCAAUAAAAGUAUAAAUUCAUAGUUCAAAUAAAAUCGUGAGAAUCGUACAGGAAGUUGCCAGACUAGUCAAGUACGAAACUAAUUAAUCACAAAAGUAUACAUUUUUAUACUCUGUCAACAUUUUUAUUCUUUGACUAAAUAUAAAUAUCACUAAAUCUUACGUAAAUGCAUAUAUUAAUUGUAAUCGAAAUACAGAAUUAAGAAAAUAUUAAAUAUGUUACUAGGUAUUACUAGGUUAAUCAAAUAAAGAACCAUUUCGAUUUAAAAAUUGAACCGGUACGAAAACAGAAGCAUUUUCACGACAUUUAUUUCAGUAUAUUUCUUUGUAUUUUCAUACAAAUGGCAAAACCGAAUUGUCCCCGAACCACAAUUUAUUUGGAUUAACAAGGUUUCUACCAUUUUAUCCGUUUCUCCUGUUUUCACGUAUUUUUAUAUUUUUCUACAUUUCCGUUUCAUUAGCAGCCGUGGAAUUAAAAGGAGAACAAUUGCAAUAUUUCUACGUUUAUUUCAUCUUUUUGUUUUUCGAGGAUUACGAUAGAAAUUCAACACUUUAUAACCUCGUUAGUUUGCGUUAUGCGUCGCCAGAGUUGCCUGAUAAGCCACCGAAACGCAGAAAAGAUCACAGAACACAUCCGCAUUGGAAUCCUCAUUGGGACAAAGAAAAUGAAAAGCUGAAUGAAUUAAGAUGAAGUUAAUAACGAUGAAAAUUAAUCACUAGACCGUGGAUGAUUAUAGAUAUCCAUAUUUUUAUAGUGGUUAUAAUUAAUGAAGAGUUGGAUGUCUUUCCGGAAGUGAGUAACAUAGAAGUUUCGUUUCGUUUGGUUACGAAAUGUGCCACGAUAUAAAGAGAAAACACUCGAUAUUUGAAGGUGAUUCGUCAUGAAGUUUCAUUAAAUCCGAGAGAUUUAACAACGACAUUCUUCUUCGUUAAUCAGAUUACCGGUCUCUGGUUUGCUUCACGGUGCGGAACGAAGUCAAAUGGAAUUGUCUUUGAAGAUCAAUGUGUAACGCCUCGGUUCUAUGGUCUUUGGAGACACCUCGACGAAAGAAUAUGGGCGGAGAGCAUUGAUAUGAAAGAUGAACGAUCGCCGUUAUUUUGGAGUGGAAAGAUUCACCUUCAGUUUUAAUUAAACUGCUGGAAAACCGUAUCGGAAGCUCCGACGAAAGCGGAGAGAAAGGGUUACUGAGACCUUACAUGUGGUGUUUACUUUGUACUACUCGUGCAACUAAUUGCCAUGACAAAGGGAGGGAAAUGUAACCCAUCGUCGACCCGAGUAAUGAUCGAUCAAAACUCCAUUAUUGACAUUCUUUUGAGUAACGCGUGCAAGAACGAUAGAAAAAAUCAAAUUAAAAUCAUUCGAAUAUGAUUAUCUUAUUUUCUGAGUGGAUGAGAGAAAUAUAAUAUGUACACAAGUACAUAGAAACAAAUUGAUUGCUUAGAUACUGCAAAAAUGUUAGGGGAAAUUAAUUGUUAUUUUAUAAUGGUUAUAUUUAUAUACGGAUAAAACUUGUCUGCUGUAUACUCUAUUUCUGGAAUACAACGGAAAUAGAAACAGUAUGUUUAGAUAUUUUUACUCCUUUCAGACAUCAAUUAUUUCAAAGCUUCUAUAUUUCUCAUCAAAUUUAUGCGCACAUAUUAAAUGUUA